rnacentral:lncRNA from 1 species
UGACAGCCCGCAUCACUAUCCGGCCACAGUUCCAAUCGACCCGAACUAACCUAAAAAAUUAUUGUAAGAGUAUUUAAAAAUAUUCAGUAAAAUACAUUCAGUUUUCAUACAUAAUUAUACAACAAUAAAUAAACACUUCAUAUCACUCUUCUUUUAUGGAGUAUAACGGUGACGAAGCAACACAACCAUCUUAUGUCCUCGUAAAUUUUCGAAGGAUUUCAUAUCUCUUUCUAAAGAACUCGAAGGUCAUUGGUAAUUCAUGUAUAUUUAAUUGAAUACAUAGGGCAUGUUUGGUACGUAUUGGUAUAAUCAAUUUUUUGACCGUUAGAGAGAAAAUUGGGUCCUAAUGUGAGUGAAGAAGUCUAAAAUGACUUUUUACCAUGUUAAGUGACGAUAACAAAAAUUGAUUUUUUGGCUUGAAAAAUCAAAACCAAAUGGGGGCAUAAAAGCAUAAGGACACAAAUCACUUGUACAAAAGUAUCUUACCUUGUUUAUUUAAAGGUUGGAAGGAAUAAAAUCUUGUACGUAAAAAUCUCCUAUUAUUUUUCUAUACUUUAUCUUCUCCCCCCUCUCUACCAUGGCUCUCUCUCUAUUUUGCGGGGGAAAAUAAUUGGAAUUCUUGCUAUAUUUAUAGAGAUUGUUUGGUGAGAAUUAAAAUUAGAUUUUUAAUAGAUUUUGAUAGAAAUUUUUGAAAUGUGUAGUUGAAAAGUUGUGGGACCUGUAAAAAAUGUGAUUAAUAUUGAUUGUUUGACUUUAACUCAGAUUAAAAUUUGAUUAAAAUAUGAGCCAAAUAGGGUUAUAGUUGAAAAUUUUCAAUUGAGUUUGUAUGUAAAUAGAAUUGAAAAAUUGUGUAAUACAAAGAAUUUGGAUAAGAAUUGGUUUCAAAUAAUAGAAUUUAAAUUGUAUUCAAGUAAUGUUUUCAUAUCAAUAAAAAUCACAUGUGGUAGGGAUUAGAAGAGGAAAAUAAUUUUACUUAAUUAAUAUUGCAAGUCCUCACCAACUCUAUUAACCUAUUAUUCUUUUAAUUGAACUUAACUUGAUUAGCCUAAUCCAAAACAACUUUUUCUUAGGUCAAGACUCCUAAUUAAUUACGAGUUACAAAAAGAGUCCAAUAUCAAUAUAUUUAUCUUCACUUCAUCAAAAUCUAAUUAUUUGACUCAAAAAUUAAACAAUUUGAAACAUAUUUCACUUUAGUCCAUCAAUAUCAAAAUGUAAAUAUAUAGCAUACAAAGCCCUCGUUUGACCCCCAUUACCUGAAAAUGAAAAUGGGGGGAAUAGUAUUUUUUAGAAAAAUGAGUGGUUAAAAAAGAAGGAAAAAUUUUCAAUUUACGUGUAAUAUUAUUUUAUGGAAGAUUGUGUGGUUGAAAAUAGGUGAGAGAAAAAUAGAAUGUAAUGGAAUUGAAUUUAAUGGGGAUCAAACGGGGCCAAAAUAAAUUAUUAUUAUAUAAAAUUUUCGGGGCGUUACAUUGAGUGUAAUUGGAAGUGCUAAAAAUUUGGCCUCUGCCAUAAGGAGAUGAUUUUGUUUAGUUCCCUUUUUUGGGGCAAGAAUAGUUGACAAGUAUAGUUGUAUUUAAAAGCCUUGAAAGUUGCUCUAUUGACCUUCGAACAAAGAAGGGUGUCUUUGGGCCUUUGAGGGUUAGUGGUAAUCAUUGGAAGAGAGCAUAAGAUCACGAGUUAUUACAGGAUGAAUUGUUGGCAUUUUAUAUAUAUAUAUAUAUAUAUAUAUAUAUAUAUAUNCCCAAAACGG